rnacentral:misc_RNA from 1 species
GAUGAAAGAACGCAGCGAAAUGCGAUAAGUAAUGUGAAUUGCAGAAUUCAGUGAAUCAUCGAAUCUUUGAACGCACAUUGCGCCCAUUAGUAUUCUAUUGGGCAUGCCUGUUCGAGCGUCAUUUUGACCACUUAAGCCUGGCUUAGUGUUGGGAAUCUACGUCUGUAGUUCCUUAAAUCUAGUGGCGGAGCCGCAGUGGCCUCUGAGCGUAGUAAUUUUUUCUCGCUUCUGAAAAUACUGUAGUUUUUGCCAUUAAACCCCCAAUUUUUUAAGGUUGACCUCGGAUCAGGUAGGAAUACCCGCUGAACUUAAGCAUAUCAAUAAGCGGAGGA